rnacentral:rRNA from 1 species
GGGCCCGCACAAGCGGAGGAACAUGUGGUUUAAUUCGAUGAUACGCGAGGAACCUUACCCGGGCUCGAACGGCUCUAGAAUAUAUCAGAGAUGGUAUAGCCAGCAAUGGCUGGAGUCGAGGUGCUGCAUGGUUGUCGUCAGCUCGUGCCGUGAGGUGUCGGCUUAAGUGCCAUAACGAGCGCAACCCUUGUCGUUAGUUGCCAUCAGGUAAAGCUGGGGACUCUAGCGAGACUGCCACCGUAAGGUGUGAGGAAGGGGGGGAUGACGUCAAAUCAGCACGGCCCUUACGUCCGGGGCGACACACGUGUUACAAUGGCAGGUACAGAGGGCAGCUACCCAGUGAUGGGGUGCGAAUCUCGAAAACCUGUCUCAGUUCGGAUCGGAGUCUGCAACUCGACUCCGUGAAGUUGGAUUCGCUAGUAAUCGCGCAUCAGCCAUGGCGCGGUGAAUACGUUCCCGGGCCUU